UACGGAGGAUGCGAGCGUUAUCCGGAUUUAUUGGGUUUAAAGGGUGCGUGGGCGGGCAUUUAAGCCGGCGGUCAAAUGUCGGGGCUCAACCCCGGCCUGCCGUCGGAACUGGGUGCCUUGAGUGGGCGAGAAGUAUGCGGGAUGCGUGGUGUAGCGGUGAAAUGCAUAGAUAUCACGCAGAACCCCGAUUGCGAAGGCAGCAUACCGGCGCCCGACUGACGCUGAGGCACGAAAGUGCGGGUAUCGAACAGG
rnacentral:rRNA from 1 species